UCAGCAGUUGUACCACUGAUGUGU
rnacentral:miRNA from 1 species